AGCUCAUGACCCACAGGGAGCGGAGUCUCCUGAGACUUGUGGGUCUCCAUUUUCUGUGUGGGGUGGGAAAGGAAAGAGGACCCCUAAAGCACCACUGUCCUUAGAGGCUGGGCCAUCUCUAGGUGCCCACUUUCAGAUUCUGACUUAGCUGUUGCCUCUGCCCUGGGAGCAGCCUACUUUUUAGAAAGAAAGGCAGAAUGUGGGAGAGACAUGAAGUGGGGAGUCCAGGAAAGAGAGGGGGAGCCUGUUAAUAGGGGUAGCUGCAUGGUCCAGCCCUGCAGACAACCGGAAGACUGCUACCUAGCCCCCAGAGCAGUUGGGUUCAAUGGAUGCCCGACCAGCACCUUCCUAUGCAAACAGCCAGCCCUGUGAAAAUAACUCAGCCCAUCUCCAAGGCCAGCCACUCAAAGCCCAGGUCUUGACCAUCCUCUGCUGUCACCUGUGGUGUGCAGUGCUGUCCUGCGAGGAUGACCAGGGUCCGCCUGACAGGACCCGUGCAUAGCUUAUCGGAACCAAAGCAAUCUUCAAGAGCAGAGGGAACUGACGGAAACAGGAGCUGGGAAAGCUUGGCUUUCUGGGACGCAGACAUCAGCUUCUGAGGCCAAGGAAACAUUGUUGAGCACUCCAGACCUGUCCACAAACAGCAGAUUGACCUGGCUGGCCGCGGUCCCAAGAUCCUGGGAAGUGUCCUGAGUAAGAAGAGUUUGCAGUGCAUGUCAGCAGCCACAGGCAACUGGGCACCCUUGGCAAAUGAGCAAUGCCAGGAGCAUCUCAGAGGUCCACUGUGGCUCCACGGUGCCCACACCUCCCGUCAGAGAGGUGAAGCUGACUCCUGCACAUGCUCUCCCCUUCCACUGGAGAAGACUCUGCAGUUGUUUCUGAGGGGAGUCAGGGACACAGGUCCAGCCACUGCUCAUCUGUAUGUCCAUCUCAGCUGCAGCCUCGAAGUGCAAGAUCCGCUCUGUGGUGGAUUUCGCUCCCAGCAGUCAGGCCUUGGCUGUGAGGAGACCUGAGAAGCAAGUGAGCACAUCAUCGCUUCCCCUCCACGGGUGCACAGGCCAGCCUAUGCGGCAUCCGAC